AUUUCCUCCUGUGUGGUUGAUGGUUGGACUGGUUUGUGGAGUCUCUCUCAUUAUUAUUCUCCUGCUCUUGUUGUAUCGCUGCAGACAGUCCAAGUAUUCCUGCUUCACCAGGUCGAUCCAGUCUGAGA